GAUGAACGCUAGCUAUCGGCUUAACACAUGCAAGUCGAGGGGAAACGGCAUUAUGUGCUUGCACAUUUUGGACGUCGACCGGCGCACGGGUGAGUAUCGCGUAUCCAACCUGCCCUUUACUUGGGGAUACCCCGUUGAAAGACGGCCUAAUACCCGAUGUAAUUCAUUGAUGGCAUCAGAUAUGAAUAAAAGAUUUAUCGGUAAAGGAUGGGGAUGCGUCUGAUUAGCUUGUUGGUGAGGUAACGGCUCACCAAGGCGACGAUCAGUAGGGGUUCUGAGAGGAAGGUCCCCCACAUUGGAACUGAGACACGGUCCAAACUCCUACGGGAGGCAGCAGUGAGGAAUAUUGGUCAAUGGGCGCAAGCCUGAACCAGCCAAGUAGCGUGCAGGAAGACGGCCCUAUGGGUUGUAAACUGCUUUUAUACGAGAAUAAUUUGAUGCACGUGUGCGUUAUUGCAUGUAUCGUAUGAAUAAGGACCGGCUAAUUCCGUG
rnacentral:rRNA from 1 species